rnacentral:antisense_RNA from 1 species
UUUUCAGACUCAGCCCGCCUGCACCUAGGGCUGAGGGAGCGUAUCCAAGGAAGGGCCAACUUGGAAGGGGUUCAGCCCAUCAGAUAGCAGCUCAGGAGUAUCUAACCUGCAAAGAUCUUAAUUAAGGCUUUGGCUUUCGACUUAAAAGUCUCCAUAAAGGAACGCUACGCAUCAUCCUGAAAGUAAAGAUCAAAGUCCACAGCCAGUGGUGAAGAAACAUUAAUAAGAGAAUCAGUCAGCCUAGUUUUUUUGAGGAAAUCUCUACACAGAUCCCAAGUCUACACAUAAAAGCCAAAGUAAAGUUAACUGCAUUUGAGCAGUGUGGGCAGCCCAGCCAGCCACAGUAACUGAAGCUGGAAGAAUUACUCCCUACACACAGGGCUCGUGUUCUCUAGAUCAACCAGACACAUCACAGACUCUGUUGUUGAUGUUCUUUCAUUUCCUUAGGCCAGUCAGCCUUUGGCAAGUAGCCAGAGCUGUACAUUAACUGCCCCUACAUUUUAAAAAUCAUUGCUUAUGAAUUGCUAUGCAUUAACUUAGAGAAAGGUAAUUCUAAUUCCCAUCUUAGAGGAAUGGUCUCUUCUUAAUGCCUUUGUGUUCUAAAUAUUUGAUCAUGUCAACAAAAAA